GAGGAACACCAGUUCCUGUACAAUCACUGAAGUUAAGCAACAUCAAGCUUGGUUAGUACUCAGAUGAGUAACUGCUGGAGAAUACCAGGUGCUGUG